CGCCGCGUGAGUGAUGAAGGUUUUCGGAUCGUAAAGCUCUGUUGUUAGGGAAGAACAAGUACCGUUCGAAUAGGGCGGUACCUUGACGGUACCUAACCAGAAAGCCACGGCUAACUACGUGCCAGCAGCCGCGGUAAUACGUAGGUGGCAAGCGUUGUCCGGAAUUAUUGGGCGUAAAGGGCUCGCAGGCGGUUUCUUAAGUCUGAUGUGAAAGCCCCCGGCUCAACCGGGGAGGGUCAUUGGAAACUGGGGAACUUGAGUGCAGAAGAGGAGAGUGGAAUUCCACGUGUAGCGGUGAAAUGCGUAGAGAUGUGGAGGAACACCAGUGGCGAAGGCGACUCUCUGGUCUGUAACUGACGCUGAGGAGCGAAAGCGUGGGGAGCGAACAGGAUUAGAUACCCUGGUAGUCCACGCCGUAAACGAUGAGUGCUAAGUGUUAGGGGGUUUCCGCCCCUUAGUGCUGCAGCUAACGCAUUAAGCACUCCGCCUGGGGAGUACGGUCGCAAGACUGAAACUCAAAGGAAUUGACGGGGGCCCGCACAAGCGGUGGAGCAUGUGGUUUAAUUCGAAGCAACGCGAAGAACCUUACCAGGUCUUGACAUCCUCUGACAAUCCUAGAG
rnacentral:rRNA from 1 species